UUGACAGAGCACACCACCCAAAGCACACCUCUUCUUGUCUGACCUCAGAAGCUAUGCUGGGUUGGGUCUGGUUAGUACUUGAAAAUCGUUGUCCAAUGGGAAGAGUUUCAAGCAUACUCGAUAAAU
rnacentral:rRNA from 1 species